GCUGGGCAUGGUGGCGCAUGCCUGUAGUCCCAGCUACUAGGGAGGUUGAAGUGGGAGGAUCACUUGAGCCUGGGAGGUCAAGGCUGCAGUGAGCCAUGAUCAGGCCACUGCACUCCAGCCUGGGCAACAGAGAGAGAGCCUGUCUUUA
rnacentral:SRP_RNA from 2 species